CUAGGAUCACAAUGCGACAGUGUAGACCGGCCCUCCCUCAUCUCCACACGGGCCGAGCUGCCCGGUGCUUCCCCAAAAGCGGCUUCAGAGCCAGUCCUCUCAAUCUCCACAACCGCCUCAUUAACACUGAAGGAUGACUCGCCUCCUAAUGCACGAGCCAAAUUGGCGGCGGCAAUUUCUCUCUGAGAGACCAUUCGCCCACACGAAUGGCCUCGGCCAUAAAGGUCGACCUCGGCACUUGGCGAGGCUUACUGGGCCUCCUUACGCCCUCGACGACAAUGCCUUUGCCAGUAAUCAUACUCUGCCUCUUUUUCUCAGGCGGCUCCUCUCCUUCGGAAGCCACCUCCGCUAGAGCGACUUCAUGUGCCAGCAUGGGAAUGGUUUCUGGUGUCAUUGCUACUGCAGCCUCUAG
rnacentral:lncRNA from 1 species